ACUCCUGCGGGAGGCAGCAGUGGGGAAUAUUGCACAAUGGGCGCAAGCCUGAUGCAGCCAUGCCGCGUGUAUGAAGAAGGCCUUCGGGUUGUAAAGUACUUUCAGCGGGGAGGAAGGCAAUACGGUUAAUAACCGUGUUGAUUGACGUUACCCGCAGAAGAAGCACCGGCUAACUCCGUGCCAGCAGCCGCGGUAAUACGGAGGGUGCAAGCGUUAAUCGGAAUUACUGGGCGUAAAGCGCACGCAGGCGGUCUGUCAAGUCGGAUGUGAAAUCCCCGGGCUCAACCUGGGAACUGCAUUCGAAACUGGCAGGCUUGAGUCUUGUAGAGGGGGGUAGAAUUCCAGGUGUAGCGGUGAAAUGCGUAGAGAUCUGGAGGAAUACCGGUGGCGAAGGCGGCCCCCUGGACAAAGACUGACGCUCAGGUGCGAAAGCGUGGUGAGCAAACAGGAUUAGAUACCCCUGUAGUCCCAUGAU
rnacentral:rRNA from 1 species